GAAGACCGGUAGUUUUUAUUUUCUGAUUCGGAGAACUCUUGUUCUUGGCAUGCUUUCUCUUGCAACCCAGCCACCAGGCUGUGAAAAGUCCAGACUACUCUGGUAGAGCAGCCCAGCUGAGUUUCCAGCUGACAGCUAGGUUGAAUGACCAGGUUUUCAGUGAGCCAUCUUGUCUGUUCCAGCCCAUUUGAAUCCUCAGGUGACUACAGUCCCAACCAUCAUCAUCUGGAAUAGAAGAACUGCCCAGGCUAUUGCUCUUACAGAAGAAAUUUCUUCCACCAUUCUUAUCCACAGGAUAUCUCCACCCACCUACCACCAUCUCCAAGUCCACAGGAGAGAUGGGGUUGCAAAGCAAGUAAAUGCACUGAAUUCCAAAGAGUGACAAAGUCUGAAGAGAAAAUAUCACCUUUCACAAAGCAUAUGAGGAUGAGGUGAUCACCAAAAAACAGGAACAUGAGACCAGAUGGAAAUUUGAAUUUAUACAAAGAAAUGAAAAGUGCCAGAAAAAAAUAAAAUAAAGGUAAAGGUUUUCUGCUACAAAUCAGAUUUCCUGAUAGAGGUGUACUGAUAUAGAGUGGAAAAGGCAAAGGAAUCUCCUGAUAGAAGAGUAGAAUCCAAAAAUAAUCUGAGAGCAAUUGAAGGUCAUGGUGAGGAACAUGAACGUUGAAAUGGAGGAAACAUGGGUUUGAUUGCCAAUUCUACCCCUCUCGAGUUCUUUGGUUUGGGGUAAAUGAGUCAACCUUACUAGAUUCGGUUCAAUGGAACUAACAUGAAAUCAUUUGCUAUUGAACAUCUAUCUCUACAGGGCACCAUUCUAGGUGCUAGAAGUUCCCCAGUGAACAAGACAGAGAAGAUACAGGAUAUCAUGGAGCUUAAAUUGUUUAGUUUGUCAGAGGAGGUAAAACAAUAACAAGUAGGCAAAUUAGAAAGAUAAUUUUAUAUAUUUAUAUUAUAGGUGGUAAGAAAUAAAAGUAAAUAAUCUGUUAGAGAGAUCCUGGGUCCUUCUUUAGAUGGAAAUUAUGGAAAGCCUCUCUGAGAAGGAGAUAUCUGAGGUGAAACAGAAGGAAAACUCUCCUAUGUGAAAAUCAAGAGGGGGCGCCUGGGUGGCUCAAUCCGUUAAGCGUCCGACUUCGGCUCAGGUCAUGAUCUCACAGUA